AGGGUGCGCCGCGCUGCAUGCGCAGCCGCGUUAAAGAGCCGGCUCUGCGAGCGCUGGGCGGACGCAGGAAGCCCCUCCAUUUUGGCCAGAAUGGAGCAGUCAGAGGGAGUCAAUUGGACUGUCAUUAUCCUGACAUGCCAGUACAAGGACAGUGUCCAGGUCUUUCAGAGAGAGCUGGAGGUAAGGCAGAGACGGGAGCAGAUUCCUGCGGGGACGAUGUUACUGGCUGUGGAGGAUCCCCAGACUCGAGUCGGCAGCGGAGGAGCCACCCUCAACGCACUGCUGGUGGCUGCUGAACACUUGAGUGCCCGAGCUGGCUUCACUGUGGUCACGUCCGAUGUCCUGCACUCUGCCUGGAUCCUCAUCUUGCACAUGGGCCGAGACUUCCCCUUCGAUGACUGUGGCAGGGCCUUCACUUGCCUCCCUGUGGAGAACCCACAGGCCCCUGUGGAGGCCUUGGUAUGCAACCUGGACUGCCUGUUGGAUAUCAUGACCCACCGGCUGGGUCCAGGUUCCCCACCAGGUGUGUGGGUCUGCAGCACCGACAUGCUUCUGUCUGUUCCUCCAAACCCUGGGAUCAGUUGGGAUGGCUUCCGGGGAGCCAGAGUGAUCGCCUUUCCUGGGAGCCUGGCCUAUGCGUUGAACCACGGUGUCUACCUCACUGACUCACAGGGCUUGGUUUUGGACAUUUACUACCAGGGCACUAAGGCGGAGAUACAACGUUGUGUCGGACCUGAUGGGCUGGUACCAUUGGUCUCCGGGGUCGUCUUCUUCUCUGUGGAGACUGCUGAGCACCUCCUAGCCACCCAUGUGAGCCCACCGCUGGAUGCCUGCACCUAUAUGGGCUUGGACUCUGGAGCCCAGCCUGUGCAGCUGUCUCUGUUUUUCGACAUCCUGCUCUGCAUGGCUCGGAAUAUGAGCAGGGAGAACUUCCUGGCUGGGCGGCCCCCGGAGUUGGGGCAAGGUGACAUGGAUGUAGCAAGUUACCUGAAGGGAGCCCGGGCCCAGCUGUGGAGGGAGCUUCGAGAUCAGCCCCUCACAAUGGUGUAUGUCCCUGACGGCGGCUACAGCUACAUGACGACUGAUGCCACCGAGUUCCUGCACAGACUCACGAUGCCUGGAGUAGCUGUGGCACAGAUUGUUCACUCCCAGGUGGAGGAGCCACAGCUGCUAGAGGCUACGUGCUCGGUGGUCAGCUGCCUGCUCGAGGGCCCUGUGCACCUGGGGCCUCGAAGUGUCCUGCAGCACUGUCACCUGAGGGGCCCCAUUCGCAUCGGCGCUGGCUGCUUUGUGAGUGGUCUGGAUACAGCCCACUCGGAGGCACUGCAUGGCCUGGAGCUCCAUGAUGUCAUCCUGCAGGGACACCAUGUGCGGCUGCAUGGCUCCCUGAGCCGUGUAUUUACUCUUGCUGGCCGUCUGGACAGCUGGGAAUCCCCUUUGGAGCAUCUGUUCCCCAGUCUCUCGCCUGGUGUCCCCUAGUCCCUUUCAAAGGCCCCUGCAUUCCUGACUGCUUCUUCCUCUUCCCCCAGAGACAGGGGGCAGGCAUGUAUCUCAACAUGUCCUGGAAUGAGUUCUUCAAGAAGACAGGCAUUCGAGACUGGGACCUGUGGGACCCAGAUACACCCCCCUCAGAUCGAUGCCUCCUCACUGCCCGCCUUUUCCCUGUGCUCCACCCCACGAGGGCCCUGGGGCCCCAGGAUGUGCUGUGGAUGCUGCACCCCCGCAAACACAGAGGUGAGGCCCUUCGGGCCUGGCGAGCCUCCUGGCGUCUGUCCUGGGAGCAGCUGCAACCUUGUGUGGACCGGGCUGCCACACUGGACUUCCGCCGAGAUCUGUUCUUCUGCCAGGCCUUGCAGAAGGCAAGGCAUGUGUUAGAGGCGCGGCAGGACCUCUGCCUACGUCCACUGAUCCGGGCCGCUGUCGGGGAAGGUUGCUCUGGGCCCCUGCUGGCCACACUUGACAAGGUUGCAGCUGGGGCAGAAGAUCCUGGCGUGGCAGCCCGGGCUCUGGCUUGUGUGGCCGAUGUGCUGGGCUGCAUGGCAGAGGGCCGAGGAGGCUUGCGCAGUGGGCCAGCUGCCAACCCUGAGUGGAUUCAGCCUUUCUCAUACUUGGAGUGUGGAGACCUGAUGAGGGGUGUGGAGGCGCUUGCCCAGGAGAGAGAGAAGUGGCUGACCAGGCCUGCCUUGCUGGUUCGAGCUGCCCGCCAUUACGAGGGGGCCGAGCAGAUCCUGAUCCGCCAGGCUGUGAUGACAGCCCGGCACUUCGUCUCCACCCAGCCCGUGGAGCUGCCCGCACCCGGGCAGUGGGUGGUGACUGAGUGCCCAGCCCGUGUGGAUUUCUCUGGGGGCUGGAGUGACACACCGCCCAUUGCCUAUGAGCUUGGUGGAGCAGUGUUGGGCCUGGCUGUGCGGGUGGAUGGCCGCCGGCCCAUCGGGGCCAAAGCACGCCGCAUCCCGGAGCCUGAGCUCUGGCUGGCAGUGGGACCUCGGCAGGAUGAGAUGACCAUGAGGAUAGUGUGCCGGAGCCUGGAUGACCUGCGGGAUUACUGCCAGCCUCAUGCCCCAGGGGCCUUGCUGAAGGCAGCCUUUAUCUGUGCUGGCAUUGUGCAUCUCCACUCAGAGCUCCCUCUGCUUGAACAGUUGUUACACUCCUUUAAUGGUGGCUUUGAGCUGCACACGUGGUCAGAGCUGCCGCACGGCUCUGGUCUUGGCACCAGCAGCAUCCUGGCAGGGGCUGCCCUGGCUGCCUUACAGCGGGCUGCAGGCCGGGCAGUGGGCACGGAGGCUCUCAUCCACGCAGUGCUGCACCUGGAGCAGGUGCUCACCACAGGAGGUGGCUGGCAGGACCAAGUCAGUGGCCUAAUGCCUGGCAUCAAAGUGGGGCGCUCCCGGGCCCAGCUGCCCCUCAAGGUGGAGGUGGAGGAAAUCACUGUGCCUGAGGGCUUUGUCCAGAAGAUCAAUGACCAUCUGCUCCUGGUUUAUACCGGCAAGACCCGAUUGGCCCGGAAUCUGCUGCAGGACGUGCUGAGGAACUGGUACGCUCGGUUGCCCGUUGUGGUACAGAAUGCCCGCAGACUGGUGCGACAGACCGAGAAGUGCGCUGAAGCUUUCCGCCAAGGAAACCUGCCUCUGCUGGGACAGUACCUGACCUCAUACUGGGAGCAGAAGAAGCUUAUGGCCCCAGGCUGCGAGCCGCUGGCCGUGCAGCGAAUGAUGGAUGUCCUGGCCCCGUAUGCGUAUGGCCAAAGCCUGGCAGGGGCAGGUGGUGGGGGCUUUCUCUAUCUAUUGACCAAGGAACCCCGGCAGAAAGAGACUCUGGAAGCUGUCCUGGCCAAGGCUGAGGGCCUUGGCAACUACAGUGUCCACCUGGUGGAAGUGGAUCCUCAGGGCCUGAGCCUGCAGCUGCUGGGACACGACACCCGUCUUUGUGGGGCCGGGCCCUCUGAAGUGGGCACCACCUAGAGCUGCAGCUGCGCGUCCCUUCAGUGGGGCUCACUUUGUUAUCCCUUACCUACCUCUUCAAGUCUGCUGCUAAGGAAGGAAGCAAGACUUGGACAGAAGAGGCAGUGUUUGCAAACAGUACUGUGCUUCAUGGUGGGCAGUGGCUGAGACUUGGCCUCUAUCUCAUCUGGAUUAAGGGAGGUCUUAGUCACAGUGUCUCAUGUGCACUCUACAAAUUCCAUGGCCCAGUGUAGGCCUCCUAGGGCCCUGCAAAGGAUGACAAUCAGACCAACUCUAAAGAUAGACUUUCAGGCAUUCCCAUACCAACUCUGAUUCUACAGCAGGGGCCAGGGAAGAGUGAAGGUGUGUUCUCAGGUCUGUGGUAGUGAACCACUCUCUGCCACAGUCUACAGCAAGCUUUUGAUAACCUAAGCCUUUCUAACAACACUACAGUGUCAAAGGAACCUGGGGGUAGUGGGUUCUCAACACCCGCAUCCUUGGAAUAAAUUCUAAUUUUCAAGUUUGUCUUCAG